rnacentral:rRNA from 1 species
GACGAACGCUGGCGGCAUGCUUUACACAUGCAAGUCGAACGGUAACAGGUUAAGCUGACGAGUGGCGAACGGGUGAGUAAUGCAUCGGAACGUGCCCGGUCGUGGGGGAUAACGCAGCGAAAGUUGUGCUAAUACCGCAUACGUACUGAGGUAGAAAGUGGGGGACCUUCGGGCCUCACGCUAUUCGAGCGGCCGACGUCUGAUUAGCUAGUAGGUGAGGUAAAGGCUCACCUAGGCGACGAUCAGUGGCGGGUCUGAGAGGAUGAUCCGCCACACUGGGACUGAGACACGGCCCAGACUCCUACGGGAGGCAGCAGUGGGGAAUUUUGGACAAUGGGCGAAAGCCUGAUCCAGCCAUGCCGCGUGUCUGAAGAAGGCCUUCGGGUUGUAAAGGACUUUUGUCGGGGAGGAAAUCCCCAGCGCUAAUACCGCUGGGGGAUGACAGUACCUGAAGAAUAAGCACCGGCUAACUACGUGCCAGCAGCCGCGGUAA